CUAUUACUAUACAGGAAUUUGUAACUAUAAUAGGGUCUUGGGGCUUGCUAUGUGUCUGUUCCACAGGAGUUGUAUGUGACAGAUUUACACAGUCACAAUGGAAACUUGAAUUCUGCAUAGUUUGUAUCUGAUUUCCAUUAAGGGAAAAAAAAUCAAUCUUACUGUAAUAUUUGAGUAGCUAAGAGAUUACCAUGAAUUGGCGCGUGUUUAAAUAUUGAUAUAAAUUUGCAGACAGAGGUAGGUCUUGCCAAAAAGAAAUUGAGUAUGAAACUUAGGAUAUGAGAUUUUUUGAAAAUGGAAAAUACUAUUGAUUUUUAAUAAUCUUCUAUUUUAUUUACCUACUCUUUUCCUGUACUUCUCCUCUUUUCUGCAUCCAAGCUGUCAGAUUAGAUCAUGAUUUCUUUGGGGUGUUAAAGCUGAUCCCGCUGAUAAAGCUGUUCCUAAAGGACAAAUAUAAGUCGCCCCUCCCCUAUUGCCCUUAGAUUUUAGUGUAGUGAGGAGGGGGACAGGCCUGUCAGGCCAACAGAAUACUGA
rnacentral:lncRNA from 1 species